rnacentral:rRNA from 1 species
GACGAACCGAGCGAGCGUUGUUCGGAAUCACUGGGCUUAAAGGGUGCGUAGGCGGGCUGGUAAGUCAGUGGUGAAAUCCCCGAGCUUAACUUGGGAACUGCCAUUGAUACUAUCAGUCUUGAAUACCGUGGAGGUCAGCGGAAUAUGUCAUGUAGCGGUGAAAUGCUUAGAUAUGACAUAGAACACCAAUUGCGAAGGCAGCUGGCUACACGAAUAUUGACACUGAGGCACGAAAGCGUGGGGAUCAAACAGG